rnacentral:rRNA from 1 species
AAAUGAAUAGACGGGGACCCGCACAAGCGGUGGAUGAUGUGGAUUAAUUCGAUGCAACGCGAAAAACCUUACCUACCCUUGACAUGUUUGGAAGUUCGAAGAGAUUUGAAUGUGCUCGCAAGAGAACCAAAACACAGGUGCUGCAUGGCUGUCGUCAGCUCGUGUCGUGAGAUGUUGGGUUAAGUCCCGCAACGAGCGCAACCCUUGUCAUUAGUUGCUACGCAAGAGCACUCUAAUGAGACUGCCGGUGAUAAACCGGAGGAAGGUGGGGAUGACGUCAAGUCCUCAUGGCCCUUAUGGGUAGGGCUUCACACGUCAUACAAUGGUCAGGACAGAGGGUUGCCAAACCGCGAGGUGGAGCUAAUCUCAUAAACCUGAUCGUAGUCCGGAUUGCAGGCUGCAACUCGCCUGCAUGAAGUCGGAAUCGCUAGUAAUCGCGGAUCAGCAUGUCGCGGUGAAUACGUUCCCGGGUCUUGUACACACCGCCCGU